rnacentral:lncRNA from 1 species
CAGUCUUUCUAAAGUAGAAACCAGCCUUCUUCCUUAACAACCUUUGGCUUUGCUAACUUUAAAUACAGAGGACGGGAAAACUGGGAGCCACGUGGCCCAUGGAAAGGAAUCCUUUUUUCUCUUGUAUUUAGGAUGGUCACUUGUAUUUUAUGCAUGUUUCUCAGUGACCUUAAAAAAUACAAAGUAAGGGUGGUAUUCUUUGGAUUCUUUAGGCAGGCAAGCCCAAUAGUGAAUAGAAAUGCCUGAAAUAGUCUGCAGGGUCUUGCCUGAUAGGCUGAGUCACUUAAAAUCUGAGCAGAAGAGAGGUGGGCUCUCUCUCGACUUUGUGUAAAGUAGAAUCCAUUAAAAAUGCCUUUACAUUUUAAUUGAAAGAGUUUUCAUUCACCAGGUGUUUUGAGUCAGGUCUGAGAAAUAGCCCCAUUGGCUAAAACAUUCUCAACUGUCUGCCUUUCCUGCCUGGCAGAAUUCUCCACAAGUUUGUACCUUAAUGCUGUUCUUCAGUCAUGUACUGUUGCUGGAAAUGAAGAUAUCAGGAUUCACUGAAAUGUAGCCGUGUCCUCAUGCAAAAUGAAUUCUCCAGGAAAUAAGCAGCAGAGAGUUUUCUGAUCAGUGUCUGUCAUGGAGAGACUUUCUAAUUAGGUAGUGUGAGAAGGACACAAGGUUUACAUGGAUGACACUUUGCUGACCACUUUAAAAAGAACGAAAUGUCCUGCAACCACUUCCAAAGCCAGGAGAAGGCCUCCAAGACUGAAGAGGUAAGCUGCCUUUGGUAGAACAGCCCUUGAGCAACAGAGCAGGGAA